UACGGAGGGUGCGAGCGUUGUUCGGAAUUACUGGGCGUAAAGGGCUCGUAGGCGGCCAACUAAGUCAGACGUGAAAUCCCUCAGCUUAACUGGGGAACUGCGUCUGAUACUGGAUGGCUUGGAUUCGGGAGAGGAAUGCGGAAUUCCAGGUGUAGCGGUGAAAUGCGUAGAUAUCUGGAGGAACACCGGUGGCGAAGGCGGCAUUCUGGACCGACAUUGACGCUGAGGAGCGAAAGCCAGGGGAGCAAACGGG
rnacentral:rRNA from 1 species